rnacentral:rRNA from 1 species
GGGCGCUUACCACGGUAGGAUUCGUGACUGGGGUGAAGUCGUAACAAGGUAGCCGUAUCGGAAGGUGCGGCUGGAUCACCUCCUUU